GUGCUGGCUUCAGCAGCACAUAUACUAAAAUUGGAACAAUACAGAGAAGUUUAGAAUGAACCCUGCACAAGGAUGACUUGUGAAUUCACGAAGCAUUUCAUAUUUUU